rnacentral:rRNA from 1 species
CCUACGGGUGGCAGCAGUGGGGAAUAUUGCACAAUGGGGGAAACCCUGAUGCAGCGACGCCGCGUGAGUGAAGAAGUAAUUCGUUAUGUAAAGCCCUAUCAGCAGGGAAGAAAAUGACGGUACUUGAGUAAGAAGCCCCGGCUAACUACGUGCCAGCCGCCGCUGUAAUACGUAGGGGGCAAGCGUUAUACGGAUUUACUGGGUGUAAAGGGAGCGUAGACGGCAGUGCAAGUCUGGAGGUAAAGGCGGGGGCUCAACCCCCGGACUGCUCUGGAAACUGGACGGCUGGAGUGCAGGAGAGGUAAGUGGAAUGCCUAGUGUAGCGGUGAAAUGCGUAGAUAUUAGGAGGAACACCAGUUGCGAAGGCGGCAUACUGGACUGUAACUGACGUUGAGGCUCGAAAGCGUGGGGAUCAAACAGGAUUAGAUACCCCAGUAGUC